GCAGAGUACAUGUGAGGGAUAAAUAAGACUUAUAAUAAAAUCAUAACACAUUUUUAUUGGCCAGGACUAAGGAAGGAUGUUGCAGAGUUUUGUAAAACUUGCCAUGUCUGUCAAGUAGUGGGUAAACCAAAUCAAACUAUUCCAAAAGCACCUUUACAGCCAAUUCCAGCAUUUGAAGAACCGUUCAGUCGAGUUCUCAUUGAUUGCGUAGGACCACUACCAAAAACCAAAAAGGGAAACGAAUAUCUAUUAACUAUUAUGUGCGCUUCAACUAGAUUUCCAGAAGCGAUUCCUUUGCGAAAUAUUCGAGCUAAAACUAUCGUACAAGCUUUGACCAAAUUUUUUACGCUUGUUGGACUUCCAAAAUCAAUUCAGUCAGAUCAAGGCUCAAAUUUCAUGUCUGGCUUAU